rnacentral:lncRNA from 1 species
UCUGCCUCUCUAAGUUGUGUUUCUACCCUGCAGAGAUUUUUUUUUUAUCGCCUUUUAAGUGCUAGGUCUCCUUCUGAAUGUAUUCAGUUGCAGCUUCUAUUGCUGCCUUUGAUAACCGAUUCCACAAAUUAACCCUUUGUAUCAUUUCUCCAAAACUCCUUUUGACAGCAGAUUUCUUUUUCCAGCUAAUCUAAGGAAUAACAUAAAGCCUCAAAGCCUCAAUGAGAUGCUUUUGGGCUACAAACGGUGCAAAACUUCUCUCACAAGCCAGGAAUGAAAGAUUUCAAAGCACUCUACAAAUAUUAUGGACCAAACUAUGCCCUUGGAUGUGUUGCACGUGGCGUCCACUGUCUUCAGUGGCAUCCUGAUUUAGGCCUCUAACAGAAGAAUUGAGACUUAUUUAAUCGAACCUCAGAACAUCUUGGUAAGGGAUCACU